rnacentral:rRNA from 1 species
CGCUAGCGGCAGGCUAACACAUGCAAGUCGAGGGAGAAGCCUUCGGGCUGAAACCGGCGCACGGGUGCGUAACGCGUAUACAAUCUGCCUUUCACAUAGGGAUAGCCCGAAGAAAUUUGGAUUAAUACCUAAUGGUAUAUAGGAGCGGCGUCGUUUUUAUAUUAAAGCUACGGUGGUGAAAGAUGAGUAUGCGUUCUAUCAGCUAGUUGGAGAGGUAACGGCUCCCCAAGGCGACGAUAGAUAGGGGUUCUGAGAGGGAUGUCCCCCACACUGGUACUGAGAUACGGACCAGACUCCUACGGGAGGCAGCAGUGAGGAAUAUUGGACAAUGGUCGGAAGACUGAUCCAGCCAUGCCGCGUGCAGGAUGAAGGUCCUAUGGAUUGUAAACUGCUUUUGUAAGGGAAGAAUAAGGGGUACGUGUACUUUGAUGACGGUACCUUACGAAUAAGCAUCGGCUAACUCCGUGCCAGCAGCCGCGGUAAUACGGAGGAUGCGAGCGUUAUCCGGAAUCAUUGGGUUUAAAGGGUCCGUAGGCGGGCUAAUAAGUCAGAGGUGAAAGCGUUCAGCUCAACUGAGCAACUGCCUUUGAAACUGUUAGUCUUGAAUGAUUGUGAAGUAGUUGGAAUGUGUAGUGUAGCGGUGAAAUGCUUAGAUAUUACACAGAACACCGAUAGCGAAGGCAUAUUACUAACAAUUUAUUGACGCUGAUGGACGAAAGCGUGGGGAGCGAACAGGAUUAGAUAACCUGGUAGUCCACGCUGUAAACGAUGGAUACUAGCUGUUUGGAGCAAUCU